rnacentral:rRNA from 1 species
UCUGGUGGCGAUAGCGAAGAGGUCACACUCGUUCCCAUGCCGAACACGAUCGUUAAGCUCUUUUGCGCCGAUGGUAGUUGGGGGCUUCCCCCUGUGAGAGUAGGACGUUGCCAGGC